GACGAACGCUGGCGGCGUGCCUAAUACAUGCAAGUCGAACGCAGUGGGGACGGGUGAGUAACACGUGGGUCACCUCCCAUCAGAGGGGAUAACACUUGGAAACAGGUGCUAAACCGCUACUGAUGGAUGGACCCGCGGUGCAUUAGCUAGUUGGGGAGGUAACGGCCUACCAAGGCCACGAUGCAGAGCUGAGAGGGGAGGGGGAACGGCCACACUGGGACUGAGACACGGCCCAGACUCCUACGAGAGGACGCAGUAGGGAAUCUGCGGCAAUGGACGAAAGUCUGACCGAGCAACGCCGCGUGAGUGAAGAAGGUUUUCGGAUCGUAAAACUCUGUUGUUAGGGAAGCGGUAUCUAACCAGAAAGCAACGGCUAACUACGUGCCAGCAGCCGCGGUAAUUC
rnacentral:rRNA from 1 species